AAUAAAUAAACAAAUAAAUCUCUGAGAUUUAAAAAAAAAAGAAAAACUUCUUUUCUACUCCAAUUUUUGCCACUAAUGAGAUAUGCAACUUUGCGGAAACCAGACUUUUCCUAGGCUUCCGUGCUCAUGCUGGUAAAGGGCUGGACGCAGUAACUUCUGUAGCCUCUACCAGCCUCAGGUGCAUAUGAUUCUUGUAUGAAACUACUGCUACUCCCACUGUCUCAGAAAACACCCAGUUUUCUUCAGCUUUCUUAAUAUAAGACUUUCAGAAGAAGCUUUUUAUGGGGAAAAAAGACUUCUGAUAUUUUCUUCUGUUUAUUAAAGCAAUACCAAAUAUAAUAUUUCAGAACCAAAUGCAACUGCAUUUUAGAGGGUUAUUUACAACUAUUGUAUUAGCUACCAGUCUCUCUAUAUUCACUUUUAUAACCUACACAGUAUCUUACAAGAGAGAUUAUUCUUAACCUAUGGACAACUGGUAGACGAUUUCUCGCCUGAGCUAAGAGAAGCCUGCCAGCAUAUGGCCCAGUGGUGAAGAAGCCUAGCUUUGGGCCUGGCUGCUUGAACACAAAUCCUGGCACUGUCACUUACUAGCUGUGCAACCUUGGGCAAGUUACUUGACAUCUCAGUUUUCUCAUCUACAAAACAGUUGUUGGUUGUGAGGAGUAAGCAAGUUGAUACUUGUAAAAUACUAGUACAGGACCUGGCACAUGGUAAAUACUCAAUAAAUGCUAGCUAUUAUUUACUAUUACCACCAAUACUAUUAUUAUUUUAUCCUGUAGACACACUUUUGCUGACCUGGAUACUGAAGGAAGUGUAACAGGGAUAUUUUAUCCUUAUCAUCACAGAGAUGGAAGAAGCGACUGUAAGAGCUGAAGACGCAACCAUUUCUAGUUCUUCACAUUUCAGCUAUAUACAUACAAGGCACCUAUCAUUUAUUCUUUAAGAGUGCGUUCCCUAAAAAGAAUCACGGAAUGUUUGAGUUAAAAGGGAUCAUUAAAUACAAAUAUAUGCAAAAAG